AACGAACGCUGGCGGCAUGCCUAACACAUGCAAGUCGAACGAGACCUUCGGGUCUAGUGGCGCACGGGUGCGUAACGCGUGGGAACCUGCCCUUGGGUUGGAAUAACUCCCCGAAAGGGGUGCUAAUACCGGAUAAUGUCUUCGGACCAAAGAUUUAUCGCCUUUGGAUGGGCCCGCGUUGGAUUAGCUAGUUGGUAGGGUAAAAGCCUACCAAGGCGACGAUCCAUAGCUGGUCUGAGAGGAUGAUCAGCCACACUGGGACUGAGACACGGCCCAGACUCCUACGGGAGGCAGCAGUGGGGAAUAUUGGACAAUGGGCGAAAGCCUGAUCCAGCAAUGCCGCGUGAGUGAUGAAGGCCUUAGGGUUGUAAAGCUCUUUUACCCGGGAUGAUAAUGACAGUACCGGGAGAAUAAGCUCCGGCUAACUCCGUG
rnacentral:rRNA from 1 species